UCAACAUUCAUGCACGUGUCACACAGAAUUGAAAAGUAGAUUCUAUUUUCAUGCACAUGUCACACAGAAAUAAAAAGUAGGUUCGAUAUCCAUGCACGUGUCACAGAGAAAUAAAAAGUAGGUUCAACAUUCCUGCACGUGUCACACAGAAAUAAUAAGUAGGUUCAACAUUAAUGCACAUGUCACACAGAAAUAAUAAGUAGGUGCGAUAUUCAUGCACGUGUCACACAGAAAUAAAAAGUAGGUUCAACAAUAAUGCACGUGUCACACAGUAAAAAAAAAGUAGGUUCAACAUUCAUGCACGUGUCACACAGAAAUAAAAAGUAGGUUCAACAUCCAUGCACGUGUCACACAGAAAUGAAAAGUAGGUUCGAUAUUCAUGUAUGUGUCACACAGAAAUAAAAAGUAGGUUUGAUAUUCAUGUACGUGUCACACAGAAAUAAAAAGUAGGUUUGACAUUCAUGCAUGUGUCACACAGAAAUAAAAAGUACGUUCAAUAUACAUGCAUCUUUCACACAGAAAUAAAAAGUAAGUUUGAUAUUCAUGCACAUGUCACACAGAAAUAAAAAGUAGGUUCAACAAUAAUGCACAUGUCACACGGGAAAAAAAAGUAGGUUCGACAAAAAUGGACUUGUCACACAGAAAUAAAAAGUAAGUUCAACAAUAAUGCACGUGUCACACAGAAAAAAAAGUAGGUGCAACAUUCAUGCACGUGUCACAGAAAUAAAAGUAGGUUCAACAUUCAUGCACGUGUCACACAGAAAUAAAAAGUAGGUUCAACAUCAAUGCACGUGUCACACAGAAAUAAAAAGUAAGUUCAACAAUAAUGCACGUGUCACACAGAAAAAAAAGUAGGUGCAACAUUCAUGCACGUGUCACACAGAAAUAAAAGUAGGUUCAACAUUCAUGCACGUGUCACACAGAAAUGAAAAGUAGGUUUGAUAUUCAUGCACAUGUCACACAGAAAUAAAAAGUACGUUCAAUAUACAUGCAUCUUUCACACAGAAAUAAAAAGUAGGUUUGAUAUUCAUGCACAUGUCACACAGAAAUAAAAAGUAGGUUCAACAAUAAUGCACAUGUCACACGGGAAAAAAAAGUAGGUUCGACAAAAAUGGACUUGUCACACAGAAAUAAAAAGUAAGUUCAACAAUAAUGCACGUGUCACACAGAAAAAAAAAGUAGGUGCAACAUUCAUGCACGUGUCACACAGAAAUAAAAGUAGGUUCAACAUUCAUGCACGUGUCACACAGAAAUAAAAAGUAGGUUCAACAUCAAUGCACGUGUCACACAGAAAUAAAAAGUAGGUUCAACAUUCAUGCACGUGUCACACAGAAAUGAAAAGUAGGUUUGAUAUUCAUGCACGUGUCACGCAGAAAUAAAAAGUACGUUCAAUAUACAUGCAUCUUUCACACAGAAAUAAAAAGUAGGUUUGAUAUUCAUGCACAUGUCACACAGAAAUAAAAAGUACGUUCAAUAUACAUGCAUCUUUCACACAGAAAUAAAAAGUAGGUUUGAUAUUCAUGCACAUGUCACACAGAAAUAAAAAGUAGGUUCAACAAUAAUGCACAUGUCACACGGGAAAAAAAAGUAGGUUCUACAAAAAUGGACUUGUCACACAGAAAUAAAAAGUAAGUACAACAAUAAUGCACGUGUCACACAGAAAAAAAAGUAGGUGCAACAUUCAUGCACGUGUCACACAGAAAUAAAAGUAGGUUCAACAUUCAUGCACGUGUCACACAGAAAUAAAAAGUAGGUUCAACAUCAAUGCACGUGUCACACAGAAAUGAAAAGUAGGUUCGAUAUUCAUGCACGUGUCACACAGAAAUUAAAUGUAGGUUCAACAUUCAUGCACGUGUCACACAGAAAUAAAAAGUAGGUUCAACAUCAAUGCACGUGUUACACAGAAAUAAAAAGUAGGUUCAACAUUCAUGCACGUGUCACACAGAAAUAAAAAGUAGGUUUGAUAUUCAUGCACGUGUCACACAGAAAUAAAAAGUAGGUUUAACAUCAAUGCACACGUCACACAGAAAUAAUAAGUAGGUUCAACAUUCAUGCACGUGUCACACAGAAAUGAAAAGUAGGUUCGAUAUUCAUGCACGUGUCACACAGAAAUUAAAUGUAGGUUCAACAUUCAUGCACGUGUCACACAGAAAUUAAAUGUAGGUUCAACAUUCAUACACGUGUCACACAGAAAUAAAAAGUAGGUUCAACAUCAAUGCACGUGUUACACAGAAAUAAAAAGUAGGUUCAACAUUCAUGCACGUGUCACACAGAAAUAAAAAGUAGGUUUGAUAUUCAUGCACGUGUCACACAGAAAUAAAAAGUAGGUUUGAUAUUCAUGCACGUGUUACACAGAAAUGAAAAGUAGGUUCAACAUCAAUGCACACGUCACACAGAAAUAAAAAGUAGGUUCAACGUCCAUGCACAUGUCACACAGAAAUGAAAAGUAGGUUCGAUAUUCAUGCACGUGUUACACAGAAAUAAAAAGUAAGUUGAACAUACAUACAUCUUUCACAGAAAUGAAAAGUAGGUUCAACAUAUAUUUUUUGUACUCUUUAUGAUUUUUGUAUUUGGAGCAGUUAAAAGUGGAGAGGGAGUCAAAGAGACAGAAAUUGGCUGCUCAGAAAUUUGCCAGGAAGGUUGUGUAAAUAAUGUCAAUAACUAGAUGGACCAUCUGUGACUGUGAAGUGAACACUAGUAAGGUUGUAAAUACUAUCUAGAGUAGGCUAACCCAUGUGGUUCCUGUGGAUGUGAACAUUAUUACUGUGGUGACUCAAUAACAUAGUGACUGAAACACACACUCAUUCAUUUGGAUGAAUGUAUUUAUGUCAACUCUGGGGCUUUUUUAUUUUUGCUAAGUUUUGCAUGUUCAAUUGCUGAAAAACCAGUAGCUUUGGGAAGAGGGUGGGACCAGGGACCUGGACCUGGGUUUUAGUCUUUUUCAUGAAGUCAAAUGACAUGUGUGAUGACAUCAUCCUCUCCCGGGUGAAUCAUUAAGGGAAUUGUUGGGAAAAAUGGGCAAGUGAUUCCAAGGAACUGAUAGACUGGCUGACAUUUUAACAUACUAUUCGUGCACUCAGAACACUAAGUGUAAGUACUAGAGAUGUCCGAUGGUAUCCGACUGCCGAUAUUAUCAGCCGAUAAACGUUUAUUGGUAUCAGUUUCAAAAAGUAAAAUUUAUGACUUUUUAAAACGUCGCUGUGUACACGGCCGUAUGGAGAAGUACAGAUCGCCAAUAAACCUUAAAGGCACUGCCUUUGCGUGCCGGCCCACUCACAUCAUAUCUACGGCUUUUCACACACACAAGUGAAUGCAAGGCAUACUUGGUCAACAGCUAUACAGGUCACACUGAGGGUGGCCAUAUAAACAACUUUAACACUGUUACAAAUAUGCGCCACACUGUGAACCCACACCAAACAAAAAUGACAAACACAUUUCGGGAGAACAUAAACACAGAACCCUUGCAGCACUAACUCUUCCAGGACGCUACAAUAACAUCUACGGCUUUUGGAGCUCAGUGCACAACUGCACACACAACCAGAAGGAGACGAAGCAGAAGAACGAAGAAGAGACAUGGCGAUGACGAGUAAGAAGAAGAAGAAAUACGCUUGCAAGUUCCAAAAUGAUUGGAAAAAAAUAAUAUCAUUUCAUCCAGGACAGCUGGAAGGGGGAGGGGUUUGCUGCUUGCCCCCCAACCACGCCCCCACCCCCUCCAUCCCCUGAAUUCUCAAGGUUGGCAAGUAUACCCUAGUUAGUUAGUGGAAAGGCAGUGUUUCUUUGAUUGCCACGAGUCGUCUAUGGGGUCCAACUGUCCAUUUCCUACCGCUUGUCCCUUUCGGGGUCGCGGGGGGUGCUGGAGCCUAUCUCAGUGCUGAAUGUAUCUGCUUUUCCAGCAGAUGCAUUCAGCACAUUUAACCAUUUUUUUCUCACAUUUAAGUUUCAAUUAAUCAACAGAACAAAUACCCAGAACCCCAUGCAGCACUAACUCUUCCGGGACGCUACAAUAUACACCUCAACCCCGCCCACCUCAAACUCCUCACGCUCUCUCAGGGAGAGCAUGUCCCAAAUUCCAAACUGCUGUUUCGAGGCAAGUUAAAAAUAUAUAGUGCACUUUGUGACUUCAAUAAUAAACAUGGCAGUGCCAUGUUGGCGUUUUUUGUCCAUAACUGGAGUUGAUGUAUUUUGGAAAACCUUGUUACAUUGUUUAAUGCAUCCAGCGGGGCAUCACAACAAAAUUAGGCAUGAUAAUCUGUUCAUUUCGCGACCGUAUAUAUAUCAGUAUCGAUUGACAUUGGUAUAGGUAAUCAAGAGUUGGACUAUGGAAUAUCGGAUAUCGGCAAAAAAGCCAUUAUCGGACAUCUCUAGUAAGUACAUGCCGUAUUUCCUUGAAUUGCCGCCGGGUAUAUAGUAUGCGCCUGCCUAGAAUUACUGCAGGGUCAAACUCGUUUCGCAAAAUAUUAUUUUUAUUAGCGCAGGUCUAAAAUUUCUGCCGGGUCAAACUCGUCACGUCACGAGUGACACUUCACCUGUCAUCAUUUUCAAAAUGGAGGAGGCUGAUUUCAAUCAUUUAAAAUCGCAUAAAGGGAAGAAGAUUAAGAGCUAUUCAGUAGGAUUUAAGGUCCAAGCUAUUGAAUAUGCUAAAAAGAACAGUAAGCAGCUAUGUUUUAUUAUUAUUCCGUAGCUGCGUGUGUCAAAUAUGAGUCAUUAGAUGACUCCCGCCUCCUGGUGGUAGAGGGCGCUAGUGAUCCUUCUUGCGACUACUCGGCUGCAGAAGAAGUGACAACAAGCAGCAAGAAUGACUUGCACUUUUAACAUGGAGGAUUACAUAUCUAAAAUAAAACAGUUUUCUAAACUGGACUUUCAAUCGAAGCAGGAGGUAAUAAAGGAAGAUCUCCAUCGAGACAGAGAGACUUUUAAAACUGAAGAAAGAUAAGGAAGACUUCUAUAAACAAGUUAUCGAUGCUUUUGAUCAGAAGGAGCUGUGCAUGGACUUCAUUUAUAAGUAAAGGUAAAACCAUAAUGUUUUUUUAUUAAAUGUGCUUUUCAUGAUGGUAUCCUUACAUCACACUCAAAUUUAUAAGCGCAGGCCUAAAUUUACCGCAUGCCUUUGGUAAACGCCGGCGUGAGAAGAGGUUUUAAAUUCAUUAGCACCCUGGCGGCAAUUCAAGGAAAUACGGUAAGUGCACUUAUUGGGACACGUGAGUACAUUCCCAAGUCUGCACUUUAAUCCAGCUGCACCAAAAUGUCAUGCAAGUUUUAAAGAAUUCCAGUAAAAA